rnacentral:rRNA from 1 species
CCCGCACGCCGAAAGCCCAAGGUUUCCUUGCGCAACGUUAAUCGGCGCAGGGUGAGUCGGCCCCUAAGGCGAGGACGAAAGUCGUAGUCGAUGGGAAGCAGGUUAAUAUUCCUGCACCUCGCGUAAGUGCGAUGGAGGGACGGAGAAGGUUAGGUGUACCAGGCGUUGGUUGUCCUGGGGAAAGGCGGUAGGUUUGGAUCUUUGGCAAAUCCGGGAUCCUUUAAGACCGAGCACCGAGACGAGCCUUUAAGGCGAAGUCACUGAUACCACGCUUCCAGGAAAAGCUCCUAAGCUUCAGCUUACGCAGACCGUACCGUAAACCGACACAGGUGGGUAGGAUGAGAAUUCUCAGGCGCUUGAGAGAACUCGGGUGAAGGAACUAGGCAACAUGGCACCGUAACUUCGGGAGAAGGUGCACCCUUUUUGGUGGCUCGUGCGAGCUAUAGCUGAAGAGGGUCGCAGUAACCAGGCCGCUGCGACUGUUUAUCAAAAACACAGCACUCUGCAAACACGAAAGUGGACGUAUAGGGUGUGACGCCUGCCCGGUGCUGGAAGGUUAAUUGAUGGGGUCAGCCGCAAGGCGAAGCUCUUGAUCGAAGCCCCAGUAAACGGCGGCCGUAACUAUAACGGUCCUAAGGUAGCGAAAUUCCUUGUCGGGUAAGUUCCGACCUGCACGAAUGGCGUAACGACAGCGGCGCUGUCUCCACCCGAGACUCAGUGAAAUUGAAAUCGCUGUGAAGAUGCAGCGUUCCCGUGGCAAGACGGAAAGACCCCGUGAACCUUUACUAUAGCUUUACACUGAACGUUGAGUUCGUCUGUGUAGGAUAGGUGGGAGGCUAUGAAACUGUGGCGCUAGCUGCAGUGGAGCCAUCCUUGAAAUACCACCCUGUCGUGCUUGACGUUCUAACCUGGGCCCAUUAUCUGGGUCGGGGACCGUGUAUGGUGGGUAGUUUGACUGGGGCGGUCUCCUCCUAAAGAGUAACGGAGGAGCUCGAAGGUACGCUCAGCGCGGUCGGACAUCGCGCACUGUGUGCAAAGGCAUAAGCGUGCUUGACUGCAAGAUCGACGGAUCAAGCAGGUAGGAAACUAGGACUUAGUGAUCCGGUGGUUCUGUAUGGAAGGGCCAUCGCUCAACGGAUAAAAGGUACUCCGGGGAUAACAGGCUGAUACCGCCCAAGAGUUCAUAUCGACGGCGGUGUUUGGCACCUCGAUGUCGGCUCAUCACAUCCUGGGGCUGUAGUCGGUCCCAAGGGUAUGGCUGUUCGCCAUUUAAAGUGGUACGCGAGCUGGGUUCAGAACGUCGUGAGACAGUUCGGUCCCUAUCUGCCAUGGGCGUUGGAGAUUUGAGAGGGGCUGCUCCUAGUACGAGAGGACCGGAGUGGACGAACCUCUGGUGUUCCGGUUGUCACGCCAGUGGCAUUGCCGGGUAGCUAUGUUCGGAAGCGAUAACCGCUGAAAGCAUCUAAGCGGGAAGCGCGCCUCAAGAUGAGAUCUCCCGGGGCACAAGCCCCCUGAAGGAACCAUGUAGACUACGUGGUUGAUAGGUCAGGUGUGUAAGUACAGCAAUGUAUUGAGCUAACUGAUACUAAUGAUCCGUGCGGCUUGACCA